rnacentral:rRNA from 1 species
AUGGCGGAGGAGAAGCACCACCACCACCUGUUCCACCACAAGGAGGGCGAGGACUUCCAGCCCGCCGCUGACGGCGGCGUCGACACGUACGGGUACUCGACCGAGACGGUGGUGACCGCCACCGGCAACGAGGGGGAGUACGAGCGGAUCACCAAGGAGGAGAAGCACCACAAGCACAAGGAGCACCUCGGCGAGAUGGGCGCCGCCGCCGCCGGAGCCUUCGCCCUCUACGAGAAGCACGAGGCGAAGAAGGACCCGGAGCACGCGCACAAGCACAAGAUCGAGGAGGAGGUGGCCGCCGCUGCAGCCGUCGGCGCCGGCGGCUUCGUCUUCCACGAGCACCACGAGAAGAAGCAGGACCACAAGGAGGCCAAGGAGGCCAGCGGCGAGAAGAAGCACCACCACUUCGGCUAG